AAGUCGAGCGAGCUGAACCAACAGAUUCACUUCGGUGAUGACGUUGGGAACGCGAGCGGCGGAUGGGUGAGUAACACGUGGGGAACCUGCCCCAUAGUCUGGGAUACCACUUGGAAACAGGUGCUAAUACCGGAUAAGAAAGCAGAUCGCAUGAUCAGCUUAUAAAAGGCGGCGUAAGCUGUCGCUAUGGGAUGGCCCCGCGGUGCAUUAGCUAGUUGGUAGGGUAACGGCCUACCAAGGCAAUGAUGCAUAGCCGAGUUGAGAGACUGAUCGGCCACAUUGGGACUGAGACACGGCCCAAACUCCUACGGGAGGCAGCAGUAGGGAAUCUUCCACAAUGGACGAAAGUCUGAUGGAGCAACGCCGCGUGAGUGAAGAAGGUUUUCGGAUCGUAAAGCUCUGUUGUUGGUGAAGAAGGAUAGAGGUAGUAACUGGCCUUUAUUUGACGGUAAUCAACCAGAAAGUCACGGCUAACUACGUGCCAGCAGCCGCGGUAAUACGUAGGUGGCAAGCGUUGUCCGGAUUUAUUGGGCGUAAAGCGAGCGCAGGCGGAAGAAUAAGUCUGAUGUGAAAGCCCUCGGCUUAACCGAGGAACUGCAUCGGAAACUGUUUUUCUUGAGUGCAGAAGAGGAGAGUGGAACUCCAUGUGUAGCGGUGGAAUGCGUAGAUAUAUGGAAGAACACCAGUGGCGAAGGCGGCUCUCUGGUCUGCAACUGACGCUGAGGCUCGAAAGCAUGGGUAGCGAACAGG
rnacentral:rRNA from 1 species